UACGUAGGGCGCAAGCGUUAUCCGGAAUUAUUGGGCGUAAAGAGCUCGUAGGCGGUUUGUCGCGUCUGCCGUGAAAGUCCGGGGCUCAACUCCGGAUCUGCGGUGGGUACGGGCAGACUAGAGUGAUGUAGGGGGAGACUGGAAUUCCUGGUGUAGCGGUGAAAUGCGCAGAUAUCAGGAGGAACACCGGUGGCGAAAGCGCUCAGUCUGGCCCAAUACUGACGCUGAGGCGCGAAAGCUAGGGGAGCAAACGGG
rnacentral:rRNA from 1 species